GAUGAACGCUGGCGGCGUGCCUAAUACAUGCAAGUCGAGCGAACGGACGAGAAGCUUGCUUUUCUGAUGUUAGCGGCGGACGGGUGAGUAACACGUGGAUAACCUACCUAUAAGACUGGGAUAACUUCGGGAAACCGGAGCUAAUACCGGAUAAUAUUUUGAACCGCAUGGUUCAAAAGUGAAAGACGGUCUUGCUGUCACUUAUAGAUGGAUCCGCGCUGCAUUAGCUAGUUGGUAAGGUAACGGCUUACCAAGGCAACGAUGCAUAGCCGACCUGAGAGGGUGAUCGGCCACACUGGAACUGAGACACGGUCCAGACUCCGACGGGAGGCAGCAGUAGGGAAUCUUCUGCUAUGGGUGAAAGCCUGACGGAGCAACGCCGCGUGAGUGAUGAAGGUCUUCGGAUCGUAAAACUCUGUUAUUAGGGAAGAACAUAUGUGUAAGUAACUGUGCACAUCUUGACGGUACCUAAUCAGAAAGCCACGGCUAACUACGUG
rnacentral:rRNA from 1 species